rnacentral:misc_RNA from 1 species
UCCGAUUUGUCACCGGCAGUCUCCUAUAAGUCCCCGACUUGACUCGCUGGCAACUGGGAGCGGGGGUUGCGCUCGUUGCGGGACUUAACCCAACAUCUCACGACACGAGCUGACGACAGCCACGCACCACCUGUGAAGGUGUCCCGAAGGAAAACCAUGUUUCCAUGGCGGUCACCUACAUGUCAAACCCAGGUAAGGUUCUUCGCGUUGCGUCGAAUUGAACCACAUGCUCCGCUGCUUGUGCGGGCCCCCGUCAAUUCCUUUGAGUUUUAGCCUUGCGGCCGUACUCCCCAGGCGGGGCACUUAGUGCGUUAGCGACGGCACGGGAGGAGUCGACACCUCCCACACCUAGUGCCCAUCGUUUACGGCGUGGACUAC